GAUGAACGCUGGCGGCGUGCCUAAUACAUGCGAGUCGAGCGAACGGACGAGAAGCUUGCUUCUCUGAUGUUAGCGGCGGACGGGUGAGUAGCACGUGGAUAACCUACCUAUAAGACUGGGAUAACUUCGGGAAACCGGAGCUAAUACCGGAUGAUAUUUUGAACCGCAUGGUUCAAAAGUGAAAGACGGUCUUGCUGUCACUUAUAGAUGGAUCCGCGCUGCAUUAGCUAGUUGGUAAGGUAACGGCUUACCAAGGCAACGAUGCAUAGCCGACCUGAGAGGGUGAUCGGCCACACUGGAACUGAGACACGGUCCAGACUCCUACGGGAGGCAGCAGUAGGGAAUCUUCCGCAAUGGGCGAAAGCCUGACGGAGCAACGCCGCGUGAGUGAUGAAGGUCUUCGGAUCGUAAAACUCUGUUAUUAGGGAAGAACAUAUGUGUAAGUAACUGUGCACAUCUUGACGGUACCUAAUCAGAAAGCCACGGCUAACUACGUG
rnacentral:rRNA from 1 species